rnacentral:rRNA from 1 species
UACGGAGGAUGCGAGCGUUAUCCGGAUUUAUUGGGUUUAAAGGGUGCGCAGGCGGAUUUAUAAGUCAGUGGUGAAACACUCCGGCUCAACUGGGGUACUGCCAUUGAUACUGUAGGUCUUGAGUUAAGAGGGCGUUGGCGGAAUGUGUCAUGUAGCGGUGAAAUGCAUAGAUAUGACACAGAACACCGAUAGCGAAGGCAGCUGACGAUACUUUAACUGACGCUCAUGCACGAGAGCGUGGGGAUCAAACAGG